rnacentral:lncRNA from 1 species
CCCGUUCCGAAAUCACAACCACAAUUGUCAGCGAAAAGAGGAAUUCUCAUCAUGGAUCUACGAUGGUGAAUAGGUUUUUGGACGCGAAUGGAUACGAUGAAGAGUCUAAUUUCCUUCUCCGACGACAAUCAGAGCUGGACUCUCACGAUGACUACGGGUUGUUGUUGCUCCGGGCAGCCGUACGUCGGUGGUCCGGGCUCGCUUGAGC